UACAGAGGUGCCAAGCGUUAGGCGGAAUCACGGGGCUUAAAGCGUGUGUAGGCGGAUCGUUAAGUACCUUGUGAAAUCCCACGGCUCAACCGUGGAACUGCUGGGUAUACUGGCGAUCUUGAGCCACCUAGGGGCGAGCGGAACAAGCGGUGGAGCGGUGAAAUGCGUAGAUAUCACUUGGAACGCCAAUGGUGAAAACAGGUAGCUGGGGCUGUGCCGACGCUGAGACACGAAAGCCAGGGGAGCGAACGGG
rnacentral:rRNA from 1 species